rnacentral:rRNA from 1 species
UACGGAGGAUCCAAGCGUUAUCCGGAUUUAUUGGGUUUAAAGGGUGCGUAGGCGGCUUUUUAAGUCAGGGGUGAAAGACGGUAGCUUAACUAUCGCAGUGCCCUUGAUACUGAAGAGCUUGAAUAUACUUGAGGUAGGCGGAAUGUGACAAGUAGCGGUGAAAUGCAUAGAUAUGUCACAGAACACCAAUUGCGAAGGCAGCUUACUAAGGUAUGAUUGACGCUGAGGCACGAAAGCGUGGGGAUCAAACGGG